rnacentral:rRNA from 1 species
UACGGGGGGGGCGAGCGUUGUUCGGAAUUACUGGGCGUAAAGGGCGCGUAGGCGGUCUGCUACGUUGGGUGUGAAAACUCUGGGCUUACCCCAGAGCCUGCAUUCAAGACUGACAGGCUAGAGUUCUGGAGGGGGUAGCGGAAUUCCUGGUGUGGCGGUGAAAUGCGUAGAGAUCAGGAGGAACACCGGUGGCGAAGGCGGCUACCUGGACAGAAACUGACGCUGAGGCGCGAAAGCUAGGGGAGCAAACAGG